GCCCUGCAGAUCAGCAGACCAGGCCUACAGUAUGCGGUUCUGGUCGGAAGCCGGCACAAGGGGUUUCAGCCCAACUUAGGGAACGCUUCAUCAGACAGCAGAGCAAGAGGAUUCUCUCCCCAAUCCUCCAAUUUUUAAUGUUUUUUUCUGGAGGCGUUAGAUUCUCACUUGGUUGGAAUAGAAUGAGUGGGGUUUUUCUUCCUUAAAAAGCAGAUGCUUCUAACUGUAGGAGCAAUUCAAAGGUGAAACGGCCCCAUUUUGAGGCACAGCACCCCAGCAGUCAGUGUUCACAGAGGAGGACAUGUUCGAGGAAAUGUGUUUCAGGACAUGCUGAACUGGUUCAUUCCAUCUCUAUGAUUCCAUGGGGUGAAUGCUAAAGGACCUACUACAAAUGUCCCCAAGUCACCAUCAUCCAUUUUCCAUCACAAAGAACUAGGGACCUGGGUCUAGUCUGUGUCCAGACACCAGCUCUGGUUGUAGUUUGACUGAUAAUCCCCUGGAGUUCCCUGUUGGUCUGGAGCUGCCCACUGUGGACAGGACCAUGUGGUAAGAAUGAAUUCAGCUGGAGGAAACCUUGUAACAGCGGUUCACACAGCAGCAGCUCCAGCUCCAGGAACCACAACAGGGAGCAAAAGUGACAUCCACACAUUCUAAUCGCUCCACAGUCUAGGGACCAGGGCAAAAGAGAGGAAUCAGGAAAAACCCAAGCUGUAUAAAUAUAGGUGGGGGAAUGACGGGUUAUGCCUAAGAAUAGAAAAAGAAAAACCCUCAGGGUCAGAGGAGGUGCUGAGCUGAGGGUAGCUUCAACGAAACUGUCUGGGGCAGAGUGCCAUGCUGGUUUCCACUCGCUGGCUUAGAAGAAGAGAGCUUUGACAGAAUUUACUGUGCCAUGUCCUUCCUCCAUUCGCAGCUUCUAAAUGAUUAAUGGAAGGCCAUAAGGAUGAGGGGAGACUCCAGAGGGAAGUGUUCAAAACGAUUACCUGCUUGGAAGAAAAGAAGCAGCCGGGAGGGGCUUUAAGAGAAUCAUUUAGCUUCUUCACCUGAGGGUAGGAGAGCCAAAUAGUCACCUAGAGGAAGAUGAGUUAGGAACCCUGUGAAACUGUGCCCUGAAGGGUCACUGGGAGAGGUGCUUCAAAACAACCGAUGAGACUCGCUGAGAUGCGGAAGGAUGGCUGCGCCCUCUGCCCGGGGCGGGAGUCACUGGAGCUGGGCUUGUGGGCAGCCGUCCUGCCUGCCUGCUGUUUGAUUUUAAUUCUCAUGCAUCC
rnacentral:lncRNA from 1 species